AUUGAACGCUGGCGGCAGGCCUAACACAUGCAAGUCGAACGAGUGGCGGACGGGUGAGUAAUGUCUGGGAAACUGCCUGAUGGAGGGGGAUAACUACUGGAAACGGUAGCUAAUACCGCAUACCCUCGGAUGUGCCCAGAUGGGAUUAGCUAGUAGGUGGGGUAAAGGCUCACCUAGGCGACGAUCCCUAGCUGGUCUGAGAGGAUGACAGGCCACACGGGAACGGAGAAACGCUCCAGACUCCUCCGGGAGGCAGCAGUGGGAAAUAUGGCACAAUGUGCGCAAGCCGGAUGCAGCAAUGCCGCGUGAAGGAAGAAGCCAUUCGGGUUGAAAAGUCCUUUCAGCGGGGAGACGUUACCCGCAUAAGAAGCACCGGCUAACUCCGGGCCAGCAGCCGCGGUAAUUC
rnacentral:rRNA from 1 species